CAGCAGCCGCGGGAAUACGUAGGUGGCAAGCGUUGUCCGGAAUUAUUGGGCGUAAAGGGCUCGCAGGCGGUUUCUUAAGUCUGAUGUGAAAGCCCCCGGCUCGACCGGGGAGGGUCAUUGGAAACUGGGAAACUUGAGUGCAGAAGAGGAGAGUGGAAUUCCACGUGUAGCGGUGAAAUGCGUAGAGAUGUGGAGGAACACCAGUGGCGAAGGCGACUCUCUGGUCUGUAACUGACGCUGAGGAGCGAAAGCGUGGGGAGCGAACAGGAUUAGAUACCCCCGUAGUCCCUGUCUCUUAUAC
rnacentral:rRNA from 1 species